rnacentral:pre_miRNA from 1 species
CUUGUACUCCCUCCUCCAACCGGAAUUACUUGUCGGAGAAAUGGAUAUAUCUAGACGGAUUUUAAUUGUAGAUACAUCCAUUUUUAUACAUUUCGGCGAUAAAUAAUUCCGAACGGAGGGAGUAUGAG